GACGAACGCUGGCGGCGUGCUUAACACAUGCAAGUCGAACGGAAAGGCCCAGCUUGCUGGGUGCUCGAGUGGCGAACGGGUGAGUAACACGUGGGUGAUCUGCCCCUAACUUCGGGAUAAGCUUGGGAAACUGGGUCUAAUACCGGAUAGGACAAUCGUUUAGUGUCGGUUGUGGAAAGUUUUUUCGGUUAGGGAUGAGCCCGCGGCCUAUCAGCUUGUUGGUGGGGUAAUGGCCUACCAAGGCGUCGACGGGUAGCCGGCCUGAGAGGGUGGACGGCCACAUUGGAACUAGGGAACGGCCAGGACUCCACCGGGGGGAAGCGGUGGGAAAAUUUGCACAAUGGGCGCAGGCUGGAUGCAGGGCCGCCGGGUGGGGAUGACGGCCUUCGGGUUGUAAACCUCUUUCGACAGGGACGAAGCUUUGGUGACGGUACCUGUAGAAGAAGCACCGGCUAACUACGUG
rnacentral:rRNA from 1 species